AGAGUUUGAUCCUGGCUCAGGAUGAACGCUGGCGGCGUGCCUAAUACAUGCAAGUCGAGCGAACGGACGAGAAGCUUGCUUCUCUGAUGUUAGCGGCGGACGGGUGAGUAACACGUGGAUAACCUACCUAUAAGACUGGGAUAACUUCGGGAAACCGGAGCUAAUACCGGAUAAUAUUUUGAACCGCAUGGUUCAAAAGUGAAAGACGGUCUUGCUGUCACUUAUAAAUGGAUCCGCGCUGCAUUAGCUAGUUGGUAAGGUAACGGCUUACCAAGGCAACGAUGCAUAGCCGACCUGAGAGGGUGAUCGGCCACACUGGAACUGAGACACGGUCCAGACUCCUACGGGAGGCAGCAGUAGGGAAUCUUCCGCAAUGGGCGAAAGCCUGACGGAGCAACGCCGCGUGAGUGAUGAGGGUCUUCGGAUCGUAAAACUCUGUUAUUAGGGAAGAACAUAUGUGUAAGUAACUGUGCACAUCUUGACGGUACCUAAUCAGAAAGCCACGGCUAACUACGUGCCAGCAGCCGCGGUAAUACGUAGGUGGCAAGCGUUAUCCGGAAUUAUUGGGCGUAAAGCGCGCGUAGGCGGUUUUUUAAGUCUGAUGUGAAAGCCCACGGCUCAACCGUGGAGGGUCAUUGGAAACUGGAAAACUUGAGUGCAGAAGAGGAAAGUGGAAUUCCAUGUGUAGCGGUGAAAUGCGCAGAGAUAUGGAGGAACACCAGUGGCGAAGGCGACUUUCUGGUCUGUAACUGACGCUGAUGUGCGAAAGCGUGGGGAUCAAACAGGAUUAGAUACCCUGGUAGUCC
rnacentral:rRNA from 1 species